GGGUAACCUGCCUGUAAGACUGGGAUAACUCCGGGAAACCGGGGCUAAUACCGGAUGCUUGAUUGAACCGCAUGGUUCAAUCAUAAAAGGUGGCUUUUAGCUACCACUUUCCGAUGGACCCGCGGCGCAUUAGCUAGUUGGUGAGGUAACGGCUCACCAAGGCGACCAUGCGUAACCCACCUGAGAGGGUGAUCGGCCACACUGGGACUGAAACACGGCCCAGACUCCUACGGGAGGCAGCAGUAAGGAAUCUUCCGCCAUGGACGAAAGUCUGACGGAACAACGCCGCGUGAGUGAUGAAGGUUUUCGGAUCGUAAAACUCUGUUGUUAAGGAAGAACAAGUACCGUUCGAAUAGGGCGGUACCUUGACGGUACCUAACCAGAAAGCCACGGCUAACUACGUGCCAGCAGCCGCGGUAAUACGUAGGUGGCAAGCGUUGUCCGGAAUUAUUGGGCGUAAAGCGCGCGCAGGCGGUUUCUUAAGUCUGAUGUGAAAGCCCCCGGCUCAACCGGGGAGGGUCAUUGGAAACUGGGGAACUUGAGUGCAGAAGAGGAGAGUGGAAUUCCACGUGUAGCGGUGAAAAUGCGUAGAGAUGUGGAGGAACACCAGUGGCGAAGGCGACUCUCUGGUCUGUAACUGACGCUGAGGCGCGAAAGCGUGGGGAGCGAACAGGGAUUAGAUACCCUGGUAGUCCACGCCGUAAAACGAUGAGUGCUAAAGUGUUAGAGGGUUUCCGCCCCUUUAGUGCUGCAGCAAACGCAUAAAGCCACUCCGCCUGGGGAGUACGG
rnacentral:rRNA from 1 species